CGCGGUAAACUGUAAAAUUACUGUAAUAUAAAUUUCAUUUAAAUUAAAAGAGGAAAAGCAAUGUAAUACAUGAUAAUACGAAAGUUUCUACUAUGUCUUCCACACACGGUGACUUCCCAUUAAAUAAUAGCUAUACUUCGCAGUCGUGAAAAGUUUAUUAAUGAAAUUGCUGCUUACGCAUGCGCUUAUUCCGUGUACGUCAGAACUCGGAGCUCCAUGUGACAGUUUGUUUCUAUACGCCAAUUGUAAGCAAUCGUUCCCUGUGUGAUGUUCCGUGUGUAAAGUUUUUUUUGCAUUCAUUAUUCGAUGCACACAAUAGCGAUACUACUAAAUUGUAGCAUAUCUUCACGUUUACUGCGCGUUAAAUUCAACGAUAUAAAAACUUCUAUGAAAUACACACAAUAGUCAAUUUCAGACAUUAGCAAUAUUGUGAGUUAACAGUGUUUUGCCAACAAAGUGCAAAAUAUUUCAAUUUUUGACAUAACCUGUUCUCCAGUUCUUGGAACCGUGUAUGCAGUGAGACCUUGAUAUCUUGAACUUGUUCAAUUGAAGACAGUUGUUAUAGGAUCAUGCUGGAGGAGGUACGUGCUUAGUUUUACGAUCUGGGUAAAUCGCGCGAAUACGACCCAAUAAAACUGCGUCGAUCGUGAGUUCAUAGUUUAUCAGUUGUCCAGUGCACAGUGAUGACGAAGUAUAAAAAGUGCUGAAAAACAUUUCGUGUCCUCAGACGAGGCGUUAAAGUGCGAUGGACAACGGCGGAGAGGGCGUGUUAGACAUAAUACAUAAUGACGAAGACCCUCCAUCCCACCUGAAUAUUAGUGAUGUCAUUGAAGCGAUUACGAAGGCGGAUCCGGUUUACGCAGGCGUAGACGCGAUGUCGCGGACGCCUGCGCCUGACCCGCUUGCUGCCUUGCGCUAUGUGAGGAUCGUUGAGCAGCCCGCCAGCAAAGCACUUAGGUUUCGAUAUGAAUGCGAAGGUCGGUCAGCGGGUUCAAUACCAGGCGUGAACAGUACGUCGGAGAGGAAGACAUACCCUACAAUAGAAAUAUGUGGACACAGGGGACCGGCCAUUGUCGUGGUGUCCUGCGUUACCAGAGAUGAACCAUUUAAACCACACCCGCACAAUCUGGUGGGUCGCGAUCGCUGUGAUAAAGGCGUGUGCACGGUGCGAACGAAUAUAAACGAUGACAAUCGUAUAUCGUUCAGCAAUCUUGGUAUACAGUGCGUGAAACGGAAAGAUGUUGCCGACGCCCUCGCUGUCAGGGAGAAGCUCAGGGUGGAUCCCUUUAAGACUGGUUUCCAUCAUCGAAACCAACCACAGACGAUAGAUUUGAAUGCUGUGCGGCUGUGCUUCCAAGUAUUCUUGCCAGAUGAAGCGACAGGCAAGAUUCGACACUCGCUACAGCCGGUUGUGUCUGAUGUGAUCUUUGACAAGAAGGCCAUGAGUGACCUGGUCAUAAUGCGUCUUAGUCACUGUUCUGCGCCGCCACAAGGAGGCAUGGAGAUGUUCUUGCUUUGUGAGAAGGUGGUUCGUGAAGACAUAGCAGUGGUGUUUUACCAAAAGGAAGGUGAAAUGGUUGUAUGGGAGGAAACUGCCAACAUUCAACUCGUUCACAAGCAGUAUGCUAUUGCCUUCCAUGUUCCGCCUUACCAUAAACCGACCACCCCACAUCAUGUACAGGUAUAUAUCCAGCUGAAGCGGAUAUCGGACAACGCCCGAAGUAACCCCGUGCCUUUCGAAUAUAUAGCUGAUUUCCAAGGUACCCCGCCUGCCGCUCGCAAGCCUCUCCCAGACCUCACCGCUCUUGCCGCCCUUCUCAAGCCGGACGGCAAUAAUAACACUAACACACACACAAACGACACAGACGUACUCGAUGCGGACACACACACGCUCGUCACCUCUUCCUCUGACAACUCAGAUGAGAUCGAACUCGUCAAUAGCGUCGAAAGCAGUGACGUCGUUGACGGUGAUGUUAUCGAAUGCGAGAUAAUUGACGAACCUCACACUAACGGAAUUCUUGACAAUGAAAAGAGUCUAAACGACCUCCUCGAACAGGUCGCCGAAUUAGAUGAGAUAUAUUCCGAAAACAGAACGCGACUCGAGAACAUUACUAUUAUAAAUGAUACGGAAGAUGUUGACGAUUUUAAUGACGCCGGAACGUACACCAGCCUACAGUUAGCGUUCAAAAAUCCAGUUUCGAUCACUGAACCCGAACCGUACGAAGAUGUCCAAGUUCAAACGUACCGCGGUCCGAUUAUAGAAUUUACUCCCCUCAAAGGUGGCGACGAUGAUGAAAGGGCUCCACCGCUACCACCCAAACGGGUCCGUAAAAAUUCAGACGCGUUCAGAACUAGUCAAACGUCCGUUAAUAGCAUAUUGAAACCGGGUAGAAAGCUGCCGGUCACCCGAAAUCCCGACAUCUUAGCCCCGCGAAAUGAAUUAACCCUUGCAAAAAGUGAGCCCGCGUUACCGCCCGCGCCUAAAAAGCGUUCGUUCUUCUCGCGUUUGUUCCGACGAAAGGAGAAAUCUCCGGCCCCGAGCAUCAAAUCUGAAGGGCAGAAAGAUGUUAAAACUAAACCCGUAGGCCGGUCCGUCAGUAGUGUAUCCGGUAUCCGACCGUCUAAAUUUAAAUCGGCAAUUUCGCACACGUCCCUAAAAGAUAACGCGUCUGCGGCCGGCUUGAGUUACGCAGAUAGCGUGACACACAUAUCGCUACACGAAGAUAUGGACGAAAAGUCCUCUCAAAGAUCCUUAAAACGGCCUGCCAGCCUUGCUCCCCUUCCUCCGACUGAUGGCGGCACAAUUCUUGUCGCAGAAAGCGUUUUAGCUUUAGAUGCAUCUGCGUUUAAAAAGUUGCAGGACGACCUCGAUCUAACUGAGGCUGAGCACUACGCUCUUUAUAUGGCAGUGGCACCGCACGCCACAGCGUCUGAGUUUGACGAAACUAGUUGCUAUUACUCGCCUGUAGAUGGCAGCAAAUUUCAUAACCAAUAAACCGUUACACCGCCUUUGUGGUGACCGCCUCCAUGUUUGUUUUGGGUUUGAAGAAUCCAGAAGUUCUCUCUUCUUCCCCCAUUAUUGGGUUAUGGGACUUUAAAUAGUUCUGUCAUAUGUAAGCAUCCAUCGUAGCUUUUAUGCUUAAAGUCAUACGUUUUUACUUUAACAUAGUUAUCCAAAUAAUUUUAAUAAUAUAGUAUAUUUUCGGUUACGUAAACAAUAUCGCGGAAUAAGAAAACAUAGUAAAGAAUUUUUCAAAUUAAUAAGUUUAAAUAGGUAAAUGCGCCCGUCAAGCCAAAUUUUUCUAUACCUUUACACUGCGUGUUGCGUUGUGUGCGUAUAUGGUGAAAAUUUGUUGGUUUUCUUACAAACCGACACUAUUUUCUAUACUAUAGGACAAAGUCCCAUUAUUUAAUAUUCGAAGUUGUUAAAGAAUUUAACUGUACUUUCCUAGUCGUCCUCCGAUAGCUUAAUAAAUCAUUAUAGGUUUUUCUAAUAUCUAGUCUUGUUUUUAUUUUUAUUGUUGUUAUUUUUAUUAAUUUUUAUGUUCAUUCUAGAUUCGAGUUACUUAAGGCAUAAGCGACAGAAAAUGAUUAAUUUGCAUCAAUUUGAUGAACGUAAGUUUAAAUUGUAAUUUCCAAAGGAAAUAUUUUUUAUUUAUGGGAUGUAGGGAGUGGUAUUAUGGUGCUUGGUUAUGUUAAUUUUAGAGAAUUAUUAUAUUUAUUGCAACUAACAAUUUUAAAUAGUAUUUAUUUUAGAUUAAGGAUUAUGUUAGAAAUAAAAAUGUUAACUAACAACCGUCCUUAGGAAAAAUCUAUUUUCAAUGCUAAUGUGCAUAUGUGUGCUAAUAUUUGUCAAGUAUUAGGAAAUUUUAGGUUUUAUCUGUUUUUAUAGUUAAAUGUGUGGAAUUAUUUGAAUUCAGAAAUUAUUAUAAUUUAAGCCGCAAAUUAAAACCAAACGUAACAUGCUUAGCUUGUCCGUUUGUCCAAAAUGUGAAUAAAAUAUUUCUUGUUAGAAAUAUUUUAUAUAUUAGGAUAAUGUAUACGUCGAAAAUUAAUACGUCUUGCUUAAUUACUGCUGCCACAGUUAUGCUAUUAUGGUAUAUAAUCUGUUUCUGUAACAUAGACGGGUCACAAUAGUUUGACACAUGACAGAUAUUUGAAGUUCUAACUAAGACUAGCCUAUCUGAAAGUAAUACGUUCUUAGUUCGAAAUUUAAAUUGCAAUAGAUGACAUGACAAGCCGACCCGUGAAUAUAGAAACAGUUGAAGGGUUGGCUUGUCGCUACAAUCAUAGCAGUAAUGAAGUUUGACGCAAUACACAAAUUUGUUAAAUUCGUCGCAAUAAGAAUAUAUUUCUAUGAAUUUUAAAGUUACGUCUAAGAUUUAGAUGACUUUACAUAAAUUACUAAAGAUAUGGUUGGGUAGUCGUAAAUUAUUUCUAGAAUUUUUAGUUCUUUUCCAUUUUCCGGUAAGUACCCCAUCACCUAGUCUUAGUUUGAAAAAAUUAACUAUACAAGUGGUUGUAUUUCUUGUAUGUAUUAUUAUUUGUGUUAGUUAUCGUAAUUUUAAUUUGCGACUAUCUAAUUGUAUGUGAUUUUGUAAGUUUUAUACAAAUAUAAGAAAGUGAAGCUUGGUAUGUCAAUAUAAUAAAAAGUAUACAAUGUAAUAAUUUAUUUCUGUAUUUCCAAAGCGAUGAAAUCAGAAUUAUCAGGAACGUUUGUGGAUCAGCCGAUCAAAUCGGAACCUAGAG